rnacentral:lncRNA from 1 species
UUAUCCUUCUUUUAACAGAAUUGAGAGGGACCAAGAGAACACGAAAUGCUGAUGAUUUAAAUGCUGAUGAAUUCUGUAAUGGUGAGAAGGUUCAAGCUCUAUGGAGGGAUGAGACUGGUGACAAAUGGCUCAGUGCUAAAGUACUGAAGAUUAACAAAAACGGUGCCAGAGUCCUGUAUGAUAUUGACAGUGGAGUGGCAAAUGUACCUUUAUCUUGGCUGAGAAAGAAUAAAUAGUUGAAGUUACAGCCACCAGUGUAUGUCUUGAAAGACAUUAUUAUGUAUAAUUGUUGUUUGUUUUAAGUAAAUAGUUAUCUAGAUGAAAUGAUAUGUAUAUAUAUUGUAUUUAUUGUUAGACUUAUCCAAAUAUAUUAAUGAUGUCAUUUUGAACUGAUAGCAAAGCACAUCUAGUAGCUUGUAGUUAACACAUAUAAAUUUGCUUGAGUUUACUUAUUUCAAUGGAAAAAUAUCAGCCUUGUAUUUCGUUUGUUAAUACGAUUGAUAUAAGAGGACAUGUUCAAGCUCUAAUUAGCAUCCUACAUGAAAUUGAAGUUUAUAAUUAAAUCAUAUUUGUUUUUACAAUGGAGUUAUUGAAUUUAUUUCCAUGUUGUCGAGAUUUUUCAAACUGAUCCAUUAUAUAAUAAGCAGUUGCACAUGGUUAUUAUGACUUACUGUGCAAAUUUUGGCUUUAAACAUUCAUGUGCAAACAUCAGUGCUUCUAGGUAUUUAAUUGAGAAAUCAUCACUAUUAUAUAUAAAGAGUAAUAUUUGUUGUAUAAUGCCUUGCUUUUAUUUCAAGUCGGUAUAACGAAUAAACUGAAAUUGGACCUGCAUGGUUUUCACCUAUUUCAAGACAGAACAGAAAUUUUACGUUACUUGAAUUUAGCGAAAUAACUUAUAACGACCCCAUGGUUAGUGUUUAUUGGAAAUUUUGUAUCAAUUUAUGUAUUAAAAAUUCAUUCAUUAAGCUAGCUUAAAUGUGGUUAAUCAGAUUUUGGUCAGUGGGUAGAUAAGUUCAAAAUUAGCAACUAAUCGUUUACAUUUAUUUAUGUUUACUGAAUUUUAGUACAAGUACAUGGUUGUCCAACUAAGAAAGCAUUAUUUAGGCAUAAGUAUAAAUUUAAUAAUGUUUUGUCAAAGGAAUAAUAUGAAUAUAAACACUUUUGUGUAAAUUUGGUCAAAAAAUUACAUUGACAGGUAUUUAUUUAUUUACAGUUAUAGUGAAUGCAACUUAAUUAUUACCCCCCCUUUGUCUUUCUCGGUGUUGCAAACAAGAUUGAUUGAAAUGUAGGAAUUCCAAAGAUAUACCUUGUUUUAAACAUUUUUGUUUGUUUUUAUGUAGUUAAACAAUCCAAUAGUCAUCUAAUGAAAAUGUAAAACUAGAGAUUAUACACUGACGAGAUAAAGAAACGCCUCAUUCAAACUCGGUAUACAAUUUUUCGUUAACCGUGAUUCAAAAUUAGAAAAGAACAAUUCCAUUC